AGCCUCCGUUUAAUCGAAUAACCAAACAAAAACUGCUAACACUUUUUUUCGGUCUACUGAAAUUCACUAUUGGUGACCUAAAAAAUAAAAAUCUGAAUGAUUGUGAGAAAUAAUAAUAAUAAUAAUACUGCUAAAGCCAGACGAGAACGAGACGGUGCGUAUAGAGUGCUGCAGGAACGGCACGUUUUGGUGUAUACACAACGCAACAGAAACAUUGCGAAGCUUUUUGGAGUUUUGUGCACUCUUUGCCUUCCUCAUCUCUCUCUCUCGCUCUCUCGCUGGGCUUGCUCUUGUAGGAAUCGUUACCUGUAUAUUAGUGUUUACCGGUUCCUAUACUCAAAGAAGGAAUUUGGAGAAGAUGAGGCACUAUCUUAUCAGAUUGUUGGGCUGGUAUUGGUGUGACUGACAUAGUAGGCAACAACUUCAGCUGCCCAGCCCGGAGCCCCCAUCUCUCAAACACACCUGGCACAUCCCUUUGAAGGAUGUCUUGUUGAUUGUUGUUAGCUAUUACAUAUUGGGGUUGGAAGAGGACUACAUAAAGAGAUUGCGAUGUUUGUGGAAGAAGAAAGCAUGUCUUCUCCCAAGGAUAUCGGUGAUGGACAAGCUGUGGAUAAGCAAAUUAUAGAGAAUAGAUUGGAUAAUAAUGCUGUAAAAGCACCUGAGGUUGGGAUGCAUUUUGAUUCGUUGGAUUCCCUUUUUGAGUACUAUAAACUAUUUGGGAAACAAGAGGGUUUUAGAGUCAAGAAGAAAACAUCACGUCUUUCAAUAGAUGGAAAAUUAAAAUUUGUAAGUUUGUCAUGCUCUCGAGCAGGGAAGUCACAGUCCAAUAAGCAGAAUUUCCUUAUAUCAAAUGCUUCAAAGAUGGAAUGCAAAGCUAGGGUGAAUGCCACUAUAUUUGAAGAUGGGAAAUGUAAGAUUAAUUCUGUUGUACUUGAGCAUAAUCAUGGGCUGGGUUCUCAAAAACCAGGGCCUGAUUUAUGCAAUAAGGAAAUCAGUAUAGAUGCACAAAAAAACGUUGAAUUAAAUGAUCGAGGGGGAACAACUGUGAUGAAGAAUUGCCAAACAGUUGUGGUUGAAGCUGGAAGUCGUGAUAAUGUUCCAUUCUUAGAAAAAGACUACAGGAAUUUUAUUGAGAGAGCAAAACGGUUACGACUAGGAGUUGGAGAUGCUGAAGCAAUCCAUGAGUAUUUUGUGCGGAUGCAAGCUAAGAAUCCAAACUUCUUUUAUAUGGUGGAUGUGGAUGACAAUGCUCAAAUCAAGAAUUUAUUUUGGACUGAUGCAAGGAGUAGGUUGGCAUAUGAAGAAUUUGGUGAUGUGGUGACAUUUGAUACAACAUACUUGUCAAAUAGGUAUGAAACACCUUUUGUACUUUUCGUAGGGGUGAACCAUCAUGGACAAUCAAUCUUGUUUGGUUGUGGGUUGCUAUCAAAUGCAGAUGCUACCACAUUCAUGUGGCUGUUUAGGACAUGGCUUAUAUGUAUGUCUGGACGUGCACCAAAUGCCAUAAUUACAGAUCAAGACAAGGCAAUACAAAAAGCAAUUAAGGUUGUAUUCCCUAACACUCGACAUCGUUGGUGUCUAUGGCAUAUAAUGAAAAACCUUCCGGAGAAGUUAAAAGGUUAUAGAUAUGAACAAAUAAAAAAUACUUUGUUAAAUGUAAUUUAUGAUUCUUUGACAAAGGAAGAAUUUGAAGAAAAUUGGAGGCAAUUUGUUAAUGAUCUCAAUCUUCAUGAUAAUCUGUGGUUAAGUGGUUUAUACGAAGAGAGGCAUCAGUGGGUUCCAGCAUUUGUGAAAGACACCUUCUGGGCUGGAAUGUCAACCAUACAACGAAGUGAAUGUAUGAAUUUAGUUUUUGAUGGGUAUGUAAACUUUAAGACCACAUUGAAGCAAUUUAUUGAGCAAUAUGACAAUGCAUUGAGAAACAAGAUUGAGAAGGAAAACCGUGAAGAUUUCUAUUCGUUUAGCAAAUGCAUUCCAUGUGUAACACUUUUUGAAAUAGAAAAACAAUUUCAAGCCGUGUACACUAAUGCUAAGUUUAAAGAAUUUCAAAAGGAGUUGAUGGGAAAGCUUUAUUGUGAGGUGUCUUAUGUUGAUGAGAAAGAAGGAAUUUUUGAUGUGUCGGAGAUUGUGUUUGUUGGAGAAAGACGUAAAGAUGUUCAUUUCAAUGUGCAUUUCAAUAAAGAAAACUGUGAGGUUAAAUGCUCUUGUUGCUUGUUUGAAUUUAGAGGAAUCCUCUGCAAGCAUAUCAUCUCAGUUUUCAUGAAAUUUCAGAUUAUAAACGUCCCUGCAAAGUAUGUACUACCACGCUGGAGGAAGGAUUUAAGAAGAUGUUACACUAGGGUUAGAGUUGGUUAUGAUGAUUUUAAUUAUACUCCUGAAGCACAACGACGUCACAAAUUACAGCAGAAAUUUGAAGAAGUUGCUGAUUGGGCUGUUGUUUCUAAUGAUAAUUUCUCCAUGUUGUGGAAUUGGAUAGAUGAAUUCCAAUCAAGAGUAAAGAAGCAGUUUAUGGGUGCAGUCAACACACAAUCUACCUCUGAAAAUUCAUGACCCAAAUGCAUUGAUUCAUGAUGGGAAGGGGGGUAUUAAGGGUAACUUAGGAUAUGGGCAAGGUAGUUUUUGAGAAGCAAGAGAGCAUUAGGACAUUGUACAUGUUAUUGUCAACUUGAUGGAUCUUUUACUUCCAUUUUUCACAGAGCAGAACAGGUCUGCGCCAAUGAUUCCAUAGAAGGUGGGGACAAUUGGAUCAGCAGUGACUCGAACUCGCACAUAUUUGGCGCAAGCAGUGGCUGCUCGACCACCAGGCCAGGCCAGUUCGUCAUAUCAAUACAUCUUGUCAUGGAUAAGCCCACCCAUCAAACACAUGGGCUAUACUCUAAUGAACCUUACACACAUACACCUAAAUGGGACACCAAAGAUUUAAAUACAAGACUUGUAAUCACUAAAACACUAAAACUCUGUACUAUAUUGAAUCAUUACAUGUUUUAAAAGCUUAAAUAAAUAGAAAGUAAAUUUAUUUUUCCAUGCCACGCCUUGCUACAUGUCCAAAAUGGAGUAAACCUCACUCCACACCACUCUCCACGCCUUGCUUCACACCAAAAUGGAGUGAAUCCCAGUCCGCACCACACUCCAUGCUAUGCUCCAGGCUAAAAGUCUUUAAUUCAUGCCAAGCUAGCUAUUCAGCCAAGCUCCACACCAAGAUGGGCGUAUACUAAGCCCCUUCAUGCCUCAUUUCACGUCAAUAGUUUUGAUCACGCCAAAAGAAAGAGCAUUUUCACAGUGAAGAUGGUGUCAAGCUAUGCCAAGUUGGCAUGUAACCUUUAAGCUCCACGCUGUAUAGAUUUUUUUCACACUUCAUUAUUUUUCGUAAGCAUAAAAGGUGAUGAUGUGUUAAAUGGGGAGGGACUUUUGAUCAAAAUGGAGGGUAUAUCUUUUAUUUUAGCUAGGUUUAAGAAAGGAAAGAGGCUAACUUUGAGAGGAGGGGGGAUGAAGAAAGGAGGCGAAAACACCAAGGAAGAUUCUGGAGAGAGAAACCUUGGAUUGAAGAAGAUUGAAGCCUUUUAGGACAUUGAAACAUCAAGAUCUUUCAACUAAUUAAUUUUUUUCUUCCAUCUCUUAUUCUUUAAUUUGAAUUGGAUUCAUUGUUAAUUAUUAAAGAUUAUGUUUUUCUUUAUGGAAUUUUUUUUUUUUUGGA